AAAAUAAUAUUUUAUAAAAAAUAUGUGGUUUGCAACUACAAGAAGUUCAGUACUUAUUUUA
rnacentral:tRNA from 1 species